UAGUUUUCAAUUUUUUCUCACUCACUUCAUCGCUCAGACUCUCACUCUGGUCACUCUCAUUACUCAAAACCCAAAUCCAUCUCUCAUUCAUCUGAUAUCUCUCACUACUCAAAAGCCAUCUCAAUUCUCAAAACCCAAAUCCAUCUCUCAGAUCUCCCUCUCUAUCAUGUCUCAUCUCUCAGAUCUCGAUAGUCGAUCAAAACUAUUGCAGCUCUGAUUUGCUUGAGAAUCCAAACUAUUGCAGCUCUGAUUUUCCUCGGCCUUUAUCAAAAGCUCAAUGCCUCAGUUGUGGUGAAGGUGGGUCAUCAAUUUAUUCAUAAUUUUUUUUGUAAUUGGGUCUGGGUUCAUGGGGUUUUCACCUGUCUGUGUAAUCUUUAUAUGUUUUUAUGUAUGGAUGAUAUACUGGGAAAAUUUGAUGUUCUUUAUUUAUGAUUCUUAUGGGAAAUUGGAUGCUUUGGUGUGUUAUAUGAUUUUGACUGUGUUUCUAAUUCUUUAUUUAAUUUUUUGAUAAAAAUAGGAUUCUGACAUUUGAUAGAACUUGGGUUGACUAUUGUGAAUGGAAGGUUGACUAUUUUGUUUUUUUUUUCCUGGAGAACAUAUUGAUUUUGUUUAGAUUUGUUGUUAAUGUUUGUCAAUUAUAGCUUCCUAUUGCUU
rnacentral:lncRNA from 1 species